UACUCCCGCCGGCGACCGGCGCACGGGUGAGUAACACGUAUGAAACCUGCCCGUAGCAGGGGGAUAAGCGGAAGAAAUUCCGUCUAAUACCGCGUAACAACCCGAGGAGGCAUCUCCUCGGGUUUAAAGGAAGCGAUUCCGGCUACGGAUGGUCAUGCGUCGCAUUAGCUAGUUGGCGGGGUAACGGCCCACCAAGGCGACGAUGCGUAGGGGUUCUGAGAGGAAGGUCCCCCACACUGGUACUGAGACACGGCCCAGACUCCUACGGGAGGCAGCAG
rnacentral:rRNA from 1 species